rnacentral:rRNA from 1 species
AUUAAACGCUGGCGGCAUGCCUUACACAUGCAAGUCGAACGGCAGCACGGGGGCAACCCUGGUGGCGAGUGGCGGACGGGUGAGUAAAGCAUCGGAACGUAUCCUGGAGUGGGGGAUAACGUAGCGAAAGUUACGCUAAUACCGCAUGUUCUGUGAGCAGGAAAGCAGGGGAUCGCAAGACCUUGCGCUCUGGGAGCGGCCGAUGUCGGAUUAGCUAGUUGGUGGGGUAAAGGCCUACCAAGGCGACGAUCCGUAGCGGGUCUGAGAGGAUGAUCCGCCACACUGGGACUGAGACACGGCCCAGACUCCUACGGGAGGCAGCAGUGGGAAUUUUGGACAAUGGGCGCAAGCCUGAUCCAGCCAUGCCGCGUGAGUGAAG